CUUCUGCUUGUUUGGUCUGACAGAGAUGAUGGGAACCACAGGAGCAGGAGAAGCACUGUGACACACCAGGAUUAUUUUCCUUUCUAUACCAGUGCUUGUUGUUAUUCUCCAUUUCCAGCCUCACAGAACCUGUUCUAGAGCUGAAAUGGACCCUGUGGUGUAUUUACUGCUUUUUCAUUUUGGCCUUUGGUAUUUUUCCAAAGAAGCAGUAAUGGGGAGAGUUUGGGUUGAAUCAUGGAUGUCCCUUGGAUACUUCUACUGCUUCCAAAUGGAGCACCUCCAGGAAACAUACACCUAUGAACUGUUGUUUUCCAUAGGUUUUUCAAGAGCAGCAUGGAGAUGUGCAUUGAUUUUGAUGGCAGGCAGUGUACAACAGGCUGCUCCUUAACCUGCCCACUGCUUGUUCUCUGCAGGAUACCGGUCUGUGGUGAGAAUUUUACCACCAAAGGAAUUAGGAAGACUUGUAGUUUGUUCUUGUCCAGGUUUGGGGCACAGAGGUUGCUACACCUGUUGGUUUUUAUUAGUUAAAUGUAUGUUGAAGUCUACAAAUAAAUGCUACGACCCAGGUGGAACAGAUGAGAUGUGACUAAGUUCUUGGAUGAUUGAUAAUGAGCAGAGACUGGAAAAUCAAUUGUGUUAAUUCCUGGCUUGUCACCAGGACGGAGAAUUAAUGAGAAAAUCCAUCUAACGUAAUGGUAUUUACAUAUUAUACAGAAUGUGAUAAAAUUGUCCUCAGGUGCUACUUGGCAUCACAAUUAUAGGAUUACUGUAGACGCAGAGGCAGGAACAGAAAUCUGCAAGCACAAAAACUCCUUCACAAACAACAAACAAGUGACACUGACCAAUGAGGAGGGCUGAAGAAAAAGCCAGGAAAGCAAGGAAGGCUGUCGGACUCCAGCAGAGAUCUCUGAAGCUCUCGCCCUCAUCUCCUUGCUGUUGUGCUUCAUAUACCCUCCUGUCCUCCAGUCUACAGGGAGAAUGUCUAUGUCUGUGUCUGUGUUACAAGGCUGAGCAGCCAUGUUCCUGGACCUUGAAGAGCACUCAGGCAUCAGCCUCUUCAAGUUGUUGCCUGGAGGGAUUAUGCCUUUGAAGAUAUGGCAUGAAGAGAUAGAAGCUUGAACUGAAAAACUUAUUGCAGUUUAUUGCCAAAUCAUGACAGCCAGCCAUCAUCAGCCAUGACAUACUUCAGAGACAAUCCAAAUGCUCUCUCCAGAUAUCGUCAUGGAAGAAGCAGCAUUUUGUGGAAUCACAGCUUGUGCAUUUUUGUCCUUAUACAACUCUGUGAAAUGUGACAGUGCCAAGAAGUUGCAUCUGGUUUAUACCAAGGAAGCUAAAGAGGUGACUUGAUCACCGCCUUCAAGUACAAGAUUGGCAGGUGAGGUGAUAUGGAAGGGAAUGCUCAGCAGCCCUACCCAGCCACAACUAGAGGAGUCAGAACUGAACAGCUCCAGAAGCCAACUGCUCUGUGGUCUUAUCCACUGAGAUGUGCCACGGUCAGCUUGUUCUCCCUCUGCCUCAGAUCUACUGCAAAUGGAACCAUUUGGAAUGCAGCCUAAAUCCCACUGGAGCAAUUGGGAUGCAGAUGGCAAGGAAAGCUGAAGGGCAUUUGGAUACAUGCUGUCCCAUGGAUGUCUAAAUGGGAGAGAAGGUCUUCUAGAAGCACAUGAAGGAC
ensembl:lncRNA